rnacentral:rRNA from 1 species
GUUAGGAAUAUUGGACAAUGGGCGCAAGCCUGAUCCAGCCAUGCCGCGUGAGUGAUGAAGGCCUUCGGGUUGUAAAGCUCUUUAGUCCACGAAUAUAAUGACUGUAGUCGGAAAAUAAGCCCCGGCUAACUUCGUGCCAGCAGCCGCGGUAAUACGAAGGGGGCGAGCGUUAUUCGGAAUCACUGGGCGUAAAGCGUGCGUAGGCGGUUUUGUAAGUUAGGAGUGAAAGCCCAGGGCUCAACCCUGGAAUUGCUCUUAAAACUACAAGGCUAGAAUGUCGGAGAGGAUAGCGGAAUUUCCAGUGUAGCAGUGAAAUGCGUAGAUAUUGGAAGGAACACCAGUGGCGUAAGCGGCUAUCUGGACGACUAUUGACGCUGAGGCACGAAAGCGUGGGGAUCAAACAGGAUUAGAUACCCUUGUAGUCC